CCAACUUUGUAGCAAGUUGUAGCCUAGGGAUAGUGCGAAUCUAGUAAUGGAUUGGUGCGAAGCUUCCUGACAAUGUACCCCCUGAAAAGGUGCAAUUUCUGUGUGAACAGAAUUGUAGAUAUCACUAAUGACAAGUGGUUGAGGGG
rfam:Vibrio metschnikovii CIP 69.14 VIB.Contig142, whole genome shotgun sequence.